UACGUAGGGUGCGAGCGUUAAUCGGAAUUACUGGGCGUAAAGCGUGCGCAGGCGGUUUUGUAAGCCAGAUGUGAAAUCCCCGGGCUCAACCUGGGAAUUGCAUUUGAGACUGCGUAGCUAGGGUGCGGAAGAGGGAAGCGGAAUUUCCGGUGUAGCGGUGAAAUGCGUAGAUAUCGGAAGGAACACCAGUGGCGAAAGCGGCUUCCUGGUCCAGCACCGACGUUCAGGCACGAAAGCGUGGGGAGCAAACAGG
rnacentral:rRNA from 1 species